rnacentral:rRNA from 1 species
GAUGAACGCUAGCGGCAGGCCUAAUACAUGCAAGACGAACGGUAAGCUUUGUAGCAAUACGGAUCCUAAGUGGUCGCAGGGGGGCGUAACACGUUGGCAACCUACCCUGUCCGGGAGUUUACUUCCCCAAAUGGGGAUUUAACCCUCCUUAAUAUGAGGAGUCGGCUCCCACUUAUUAUUAAAAUUGAUGGGGUACAGGAGGAGCUGGCUGCUGAUUACUUAUUUGGAAGGGUACUGCAUUACCAAGGAACUGUUCCUAAGGGGAACUGAAAGGUGGAUCCCCCCCCCGGGCCCUGAAAUCCGGCCCAAAUUCCUCCGGAAGGCACCAUGAGGAAAUAUGGGACAAGGGGCCAAAGCCUGAUCCACCCUGGCCCCGGGAGUAAUAAAGGCCUUCGGGUCGUAAAACUCUUUUCUGAGGGAAGAACAUCCGGUGCAUGAAAUGGCAUCAGCUUGACGGUACCUCAGGAAUAAGCUACGUACUAACUCCGUGCCAGCAGCCG